GAUGAACGCUGGCGGCGUGCUUAACACAUGCAAGUCGAACGGAAAGGCCCAAGCUUGCUUGGGUACUCGAGUGGCGAACGGGUGAGUAACACGUGGGUGAUCUGCUCUGCACUUCGGGAUAAGCCUGGGAAACUGGGUCUACUACCGGAUAGGACGAUGGUUUGGAUGCCAUUGUGGAAAGUUUUUUCGGUGUGGGAUGAGCUCGCGGCGUAUCAGCUUGUUGUUGGGGUAAUGGCGUACCAAGGCGUAGACGGGUAGCCGGCCUGAGAGAGUGUACGGACACACUGGAAUCGAGAGACGGGCCGGAGUGCUACGUGAGGCAGCAGGGGCGAAUAUUGGACAAUGGGCGCAAGCCUGAGGGAGGGAGGCCGCGUGGUGGAUGAGGGCCUUUGUGGUGAAAGCACAUCAGGCUAUGGACGAAGCGUUGUUGUGACGGUACCUGGAGAAGAAGCACCGGCUAACUACGUG
rnacentral:rRNA from 1 species